rnacentral:rRNA from 1 species
AGUCAAUAGAACCCGGGUAGUCCAUGCCGUAAACGAUGAUUGCUAGGUGUGGGGGGUCUGACCCCUUCCGUGCCGGAGUUAAACACAAAUAAAGCAAUCCACCUGGGGAGUACGGCCGCAAGGUUGAAACUCAAAGGAAUUGACGGGGGCCCGCACAAGCAGUGGAGUAUGUGGUUUAAUUCGAAAGCAACGCGAAGAACCUUACCAGGUCUUGACAUCCACCGAAUCCUGUAGAGAUACGGGAGUGCCCUUCGGGGAACGGUGAGACAGGUGGUGCAUGGUUGUCGUCAGCUCGUGUCGUGAGAUGUUGGGUUAAGUCCCGCAACGAGCGCAACCCUUGUGAAUAGUUGCUACGAAAGAGCACUCUAUUCAGACCGCCGUUGACAAAACGGAGGAAGGUGGGGAUGACGUCAAAUCAUCAUGCCCCUUAUGACCUGGGCUACACACGUACUACAAUGGCCGUUAACAGAGGGAUGCAAUGCCGCGGGGUGGAGCGAACCCCUAAAAACGGUCUCAGUUCAGAUUGCAGGCUGAAACUCGCCUGC